AGCAUGUCGACAAAUGGACAAGAUUAAAAUCUGUUAAUAGGUAAAACACUCACCUAUUUAUGAGCAAAGAAACUUGCUCAUGUGUUCUUAGCAUUCAGUGGCGUCUCUCCCCCACUGGUCGGAUAUACGUGAUGAAAUCCUUAAAAAUUCCUCGGUAUAUAAAGAGAUAAGAGAAGUAUAUAGUGCUCACUAGAAUUCUUGAGUAGUAACGUACUCCAAUUCGAAUCGGUGACCAGGAAAUUUAAAAACAAGAAAAUAAAUGAAAUAAAAUAGUAAGAGGUAUAUAUAGGCAGAAAAAAAGCCAAUAUUCC